GGGCGUUUAGCUCAAAUGGUAGAGCGCUUGCUUUGCAUGCAAGAGGUAGUGGGAAUCGAUGCCCACAACGUCGUGGGAUCGAUCCCCACAACGUCCA